CCACGCCCCACGUCCUGCAUUCAUCCCGUGUCCUGCAUCCCACGUCCCAUAUCCCACGCCCCACGUCCUGCAUUCAUCCCGUGUCCUGCAUCCCACAUCCCAUGUCCUGCAUCCCAUGUCCCAUGUACCACAUCCUGUGUCCUGCAUCCCACGUCCCAUAUCCCACGUCCCACGUCCUGCAUUCAUCCCAUGUCCUGCAUCCCACAUCCCACGUCCCAUGUCCUGCGUCCUGUGUCCUAUGUCCAUCCCAUGUUCCGCAUCCCACAUCCCAUGUCCCACGUCCUGCAUCCUGUGUCCCAUGCACCUCAUCCCAUGUCCCAUGUACCACAACCUGUGUCCCAUGUCCCAUGUCCCACAUCCCACAUCCCAUGUCCUGCAUCUCCCGUGUCCUGCAUCCCACGUCCCAUGUCCCGCAUCCCAUGUCCCACGUCCUGCAUCCUGUGUCACAUGUACCACAUCCCAUGUCCUGCAUCCUGCAUCCCACGUCCCAUGUACCACAUCCUGUGUCCUGCAUCCCAUGUCCCAUGUACCACAUCCCAUGUCCCACGUCCCACAACCCGUGUCCUGCAUCCAUCCCAUGUCCCGCAUCCCACAUCCCAUGUCCCAUGUCCUACAUCCUGUGUCCCAUGUCCACCCCAUGUUCUGCAUCCCACAUCCCAUGUCUCAUGUCCCACAUCCCGUGUCCCAUGUCCCGCGUACCACGUCCCACAUCCCAUGUCCUGCAUCCCAUGUACCAUGUCCCGCAUCUCCCGUGUCCCACAUCCCAUGUCCCACGUCCUGCAUCCUGUCCCAUGCACCACAUCCCGUGUCCCACAUCCCAUAUCCCACGUCCUGUGUACCAUGUCCCAUGUCCUGCAUCCUGUGUCCCACAUCCCGUGUCCUGCGUCCCACAUCCUGUGUCUCAAGUCCUGCAUCCCAUGUCCCACAUCCCAUGUCUCAGAUCCCACAUCCCAUGUCCCAUGUCCUGCAUCCUGUGUCUUGCAUCCCACGUCCCAUGUCCCACGUCCAUCUCGCAUCCCACAUCCCAUGUCCCAUGUCCUGCAUCCUGUGUCCCAUGUCCCGUGUCCCAUAUCCCAUGUCCUGCGUCCCAUGUCCUGCGUCCAUCCCAUGUUCCGCAUCCCACAUGCCAUGUCCCAUGUCCUGCAUCCUGUGUCCCACAUCCCAUAUCCCAUGUCCUGUGUACCAUGUCCCAUGUCCUGCAUCCCAUGUACCACGUCCUGCAUCGCCUGUCCCGUGUCCCACAUCCUGCAUCCUAUGUCCCAUGUCCCGUGUCCCAUGUCCUGUGUCCUGCGUCCCACAUCCUCUGUCUCAAGUCCUGCAUCCCAUGUCCCACAUCCCAUGUCCCACAUCCCGUGUCCCACAUCCCGUGUCCUGCAUCCCACAUCCCGUCCUGUGUCCUGCAUCCCAUGUCCCACAACCCGUGUCCUGCAUACUGUGUCCCAUGUCCACCCCAUGUUCCGCAUUCCACAUCCCAUGUCCCAUGUCCUGCAUCCUGUGUCCCAUGUCCACCCCAUGUUCCGCAUUCCACAUCCCAUGUCCCAUGUCCUGCAUCCUGUGUCCCACAUCCCGUGUCCCAUGUACCACAUCCCGUGUCCUGCAUCCCAUGUACCAUGUCCCGCAUCUCCUGUGUCCUGCAUCCCAUGUCCCACGUCCUGCAUCCUGUCCCAUGCACCACAUCCCGUGUCCCACACCCCAUAUCCCAUGUCCUGUGUACCAUGUCCCAUAUCCCACAUCCCGUGUCCCAUGUCCCAUGUCCUGCAUCCCGUGUCCCACGUCCCACGUCCUGCAUCCCGUGUCCCACGUCCAUCCUGUGUCCCGCAUCCCCUGUCCCAUGUCCCACGUCCUGCAUCCCACAUCCCAUGUCCCGUGUCCCAUGUCCCACAAACCACAUCCCACGUCCCGUGUCCCGCAUCCUGUGUCCCACGUCCAUCCCACAUCCCGUGUCCCACGUCCUUCAUCCUGUGUCCCACGUCCCACAUCCCACGUCCCGUGUCCUUCAUCCUGUGUCCAAUGUCCAUCCCAUGUUCCGCAUCCCACAUCCCAUGUCCCAUGUCCUGCAUCCUGUGUCCCACGUCCCAUGUCCUGCAUCCUGUGUCCAAUGUCCAUCCCAUGUUCCGCAUCCCAUGUCCCACGUCCUGCAUCCUGUGUCCCAUGUCCUGCAUCCCAUGUCUGUGUCUCAAGUCCUGCAUCCCAUGUCCCACAUCCCGUGUCUCGUAUCCCACAUCCCAUGUCCCAUGUCCUGCGUCCCACAUACCAUCCCGUGUCCUGUGUCCCGCAUCCCGUGUCCCAUGUACCACAUCCCAUGUUCAUCUCACAUCCCAUGUCCCGUGUUCCACGUCCCACAUCCCGUGUCCCGCAUCCCACAUCCCAUGUCCCACCUCCUGCAUCCUGUGUCCCACGUCCCAUGUCCCAUGUACCACAUCCCGUGUCCUGCAUCCUGUGUCCCACGUCCAUCCCAUGUUCCGCAUCCCACAUCCUGCAUCCCACAUCCUGCAUCCCGUGUCCUGCAUCCCGUGUCCUGUGUCCAUCCCAUGUCCCGUGUCCCAUGCACCACAUCCCAUGUCCCAUGUCCUGCAUCCUGAGGGGAGAAGAACCUGAUGGAGUUCAACCAGGGCAAGUGUUGGGUGCUGCCCCUGGGGAGGAAGAACCCCCCAAAACCAGGACAGGUUGGGGGUGACCUUGGAGUCCUGGGGGACAACAGGGUGCCCAGGAGCCAGCAAUGGGCCCUGGUGGCCAAGGAGGCCAAUGGCAUCCUGGGGGGCAUCAGGAAGAGCGUGGAGAACCUCAAGGGAGGUCAUCCUGCCCCUCUGCUCUGCCCUGGGGAGGCCCCAGCUGGAGCACUGGGACCAGUUGUGGGCUCCCCAGUUCCCACAUCCCGCAUCCCGUGUCCCACAUCCAUCCCACAUCCCAUGUCCCAUGUACCACGGCCCGUGUCCUGCAUCCUGUGUCCCACGUCCAUCCCAUGUUCCGCAUCCCACAUCCCAUGUCCCACGUCCUGCAUCAUGUGUCCCACGUCCCGUGUCCCAUGUCCUGCAUCCCAUGUCCCAUGUCCUUCAUCCUGUGUCCUAUGUCCAUCCCAUGUUCCGCAUCCCAUGUCCCACGUCCUGCAUCCUGUGUCCCACGUCCUGCAUCCCAUGUCUGUGUCUCAAGUCCUGCAUCCCAUGUCCCACAUCCCGUGUCUCGUAUCCCACAUCCCAUGUCCCAUGUCCUGCGUCCCACAUACCAUCCCGUGUCCUGUGUCCCGCAUCCCAUGUCCCAUGUACCACAUCCCAUUUCCACCCCAAAAUCAUUCCAGGGCCCUGGCUCUUACUUGAGCAGCUUGAAGUAGGCGAAUCGGAAGGUCUCCUGCAGCAGGACGGAGACGGAGGCCCCGAAGAGGAGGAGCCCGCGCUGCAGACGAGCGUCCUCCCGGUCACUGAGCUGCACCGACACGAACCACACCAGGGAGGCCAGGAGCAGGGACACCAGCCAGAAGAAGGCCCUGGGGGGGGUCGGGGGGGGACACACGGACAUGGGGGACACAGACACACGGACACACACGGACACACAAGAACAGGGGGUUCAGGCCACGGAGCUGGGAAUCGCCCGGAAAACGCUGGGGGGAUCGG
rnacentral:lncRNA from 1 species